UGGGGAAUAUUGCACAAUGGGCGCAAGCCUGAUGCAGCCAUGCCGCGUGUAUGAAGAAGGCCUUCGGGUUGUAAAGUACUUUCAGUCGGGAGGAAGGUGUCAAGGUUAAUAACCUUGGCAAUUGACGUUACCGACAGAAGAAGCACCGGCUAACUCCGUGCCAGCAGCCGCGGUAAUACGGAGGGUGCAAGCGUUAAUCGGAAUUACUGGGCGUAAAGCGCACGCAGGCGGUUGAUUGAGUCAGAUGUGAAAUCCCCGGGCUUAACCCGGGAAUUGCAUCUGAUACUGGUCAGCUAGAGUCUUGUAGAGGGGAGUAGAAUUCCAUGUGUAGCGGUGAAAUGCGUAGAGAUGUGGAGGAAUACCGGUGGCGAAGGCGGCCCCCUGGACAAAGACUGACGCUCAGGUGCGAAAGCGUGAGGAGCAAACAGG
rnacentral:rRNA from 1 species